AAGCAAGCCUGACUUUCUACGAUGCUUCCACCAAAGUGCAUGGUCGCCAAACUUUGUCGUUGUGUUGGACUGUUAAUCCGGAAGAAAAACGGCGUAUUAUUGGCGAUAUGUUUGUGAAAGUGGCACAUAGAACGGCAACGAUUUAAACCUCACUUGGGAUAAACUACUUCUUGGACAAGGUACUUUGAGGCCACAUUUAAUUUGAGUCAGCUUCGCAUAUGGAUUCUUCGCGCGCUGAUGCCAUAAAGACUCAUCAUAACGAUUCCGAAAUGGUUCGUCAGUUGUGCCUUCGCGGCCGUAUAGUAGAACUUCUUAAAGACUUCCAUAGAGGUGAAGUAAGAGCUUUAGGGAGCGAACUGGGUCUGUCUGCAGAAUUACAGGAACGUCACCCGUUUCCAGGUCCCGGAUUGUCAAUUCAAAUCAUU